GAUUGGUUUUGGCCGGGAGCUUGAAUUCUUGCUUCAGUUGGACAUUCAAGUUUAUGGGGCCAAGAGAGCUACAAUCUUGGAUGUCGACUGUGGCAGUGAGUCCAAUUGACUUGCAUGGGAGCGUAAGUUGAAAUAUCAAACAGAAAGGAAAUUCUUUUUGUCUUGAAAUGCAAUAUUUUCAUGGAGUUCAGAGUUGCAGGGUCUUCAGGU